AGUGAAAUCAUUUAUCCUGCUAAUGGAGAAUAAACAUUUAAUACAUAAAAAUUAAAAUAGUAUGAAUAAUGACUUAAUAUGAUGAGAUAAUGCUAUACAAUGACAACACUACAAGAAAUACAUGUUUUCAAUAAAAUCAAAUAUAUAUAUAUAGAAGAGCCGUUGGUGCUUGGGUCAGAUAAUAAAGCUAAUAUCUACUAUACUUGCACUCUUUGUGUUAACAGGCAUUCAGACUGAAAAUGGCACACAAGGUUUGUGUGGGUGUGCUUAUGAUAUUUUGUAACAGAAUAUUUGGAAAGUUGUCAUAGAAGCAAUCAUUUUGUCCUCAAUUGUAUUGUGCCUACCCUGUUUUUUUCCCACACCCUUAUGAAUUAGGACCCCUGCUGUACCAACAGCGGUCUCAUUGAGAUGAAUGAGGAGGCCGUGUCUUUCCAGCCCAGUAUCAUAGGAAACACAUUCAUAGUGGACAAUUCCGCAUCUCACUAUUUACAUUAAGCGCUUACUGUAGGUGCAGUUUGAACUUUAAGGUUGGGGGUUCACAAAAGCAAAACACGGAAAUGUAUUGUGUACAACAGAGGCUGUGUUUACACAAUGAUUAAUAAUCAGGCACAUUUUUAUAUCCCGACUAAAAUGCCCAACGAGUGAUGGAAUAUUGUGAGAAUUAGCAUAGAAACCAAACUCACAAACUCGGCCAGUAAACCAGAGAUGAGUCUUGCAGGCUCGUUGAUAGACCUACAUUAGGCUACCUGGUGAUGUCUAAUAGCAUGUUAAAACACAGAGAGAGCUCUGAUGUUAUUAUAAAUGAAUAAAAAGACCACAAAAAGUUAUCUUGUUGGUUUUUAAUCUGUCAAUAAGAAGAAGCAACAAGGUCGAUAUUUUCCAUCAUCACAUUAAUUAUUAGUUCUGUGUUAU